rnacentral:rRNA from 1 species
CUAUCGCUUACAGAUGGGCCCGCGGUGCAUUAGCUAGUUGGUAGGGUAAUGGCCUACCAAGGCAACGAUGCAUAGCCGACCUGAGAGGGUGAUCGGCCACACUGGGACUGAGACACGGCCCAGACUCCUACGGGAGGCAGCAGUAGGGAAUCUUCCGCAAUGGACGAAAGUCUGACGGAGCAACGCCGCGUGUAUGAAGAAGGUUUUCGGAUCGUAAAGUACUGUUGUUAGAGAAGAACAAGGAUAAGAGUAACUGCUUGUCCCUUGACGGUAUCUAACCAGAAAGCCACGGCUAACUACGUGCCAGCAGCCGCGGUAAUACGUAGGUGGCAAGCGUUGUCCGGAUUUAUUGGGCGUAAAGCGCGCGCAGGCGGUCUUUUAAGUCUGAUGUGAAAGCCCCCGGCUUAACCGGGGAGGGUCAUUGGAAACUGGAAGACUGGAGUGCAGAAGAGGAGAGUGGAAUUCCACGUGUAGCGGUGAAAUGCGUAGAUAUGUGGAGGAACACCAG